rnacentral:rRNA from 1 species
UACGUAGGUGGCGAGCGUUGUCCGGAUUUAUUGGGCGUAAAGGGCGCGCAGGUGGUGCGGUGGGUCCGUCGUGAAAUCUCCUGGCUCAACUGGGAGGGGGCGGCGGAGACUGCCGGACUGGAGGCACUCAGAGGCCGGUGGAAUUCCCGGUGUAGUGGUGAAAUGCGUAGAGAUCGGGAGGAACACCAGUGGCGAAGGCGGCCGGCUGGGGGUGACCUGACGCUGAGGCGCGAAAGCGUGGGGAGCGAACCGG